GACGGUGAGGAAGUUCGGAUUUAAAAGCCCUGGGCUCAACCCGGGAACUGCAUCCGAAACCAUCUCGCUCGAGUGUGGGAGAGGGAAGCGGAAUUCCUGGUGUAGAGGUGAAAUUCGUAGAUAUCAGGAGGAACACCGGCGGCGAAGGCGGCUUCCUGGCCCAUUACUGACGUUCAGGUACGAAAGCGUGGGUAGCA
rnacentral:rRNA from 1 species